AUAUUGUCCUGUGUCUUCUGGUCUCUUUUAGGAUUAGUUGUAUUUGUUGUAUUUUCAAAAAUAUAUAUGGUUUUGGGAGGAGAUUUCUGCUGCUCUACUCAUGCCGCCAUCUUGGUUCUCUGUCCAAGAUCUUAUGUCUUUAUAGCUUCAGAAACCUGUAACUUCCUACUGCUGUUUAUAAAAUUUAACUUGCUAGUGAGGUACCUCAGAGUUGAGUUCCAAGCCACCUUUCUAACCUCAUUCUCUCAUGACCCCUUGUACCUUAAAUUGCAUUUUUCACCACUACCUGUCAUUCCCAGGUCAUUUCACAUCUCUCUGAAUUGAUUCAUGCAGAUCUGAUGAUGACAUCCUUUCUCUCCUUGCUUGACAAAUUUCUGCUCAUCUUUGAAGUUUCACCUUGACAUUUCUACUCUUAUGAAACCUAUCUCCCCAGUCAGAAUUAAUCACUCCUUCUUUUGUGCUUACAGAUGACUUUAUGCUUACAAGUUAGAUAUAACAUUUAUUCUUGGUUUUGUAAUUAUUUACCUUAAUUGAUCUCUUUCUCAACUUGACGCUUUUUAAAGAGCAGGCUCUUAUUGUCUUUUAUACAUUCUUCAGCAUGGAGCAUGCAGGAGAUAGCCUGUAGUGGUGAAAAGAGCACUCUUUAAUACCUAAAAUUUAUGACUGGUUGAAAUUUUGGUCAGCCACAUGCUAGUUACAUCAGUUAUUCUUUUGUACUAAUGCCCUUUCUUUUUAAAAAAUUUUUUGGUCAGUCACCUCAAGUCUCUUUACUCAUGAGAAUGAAUUUGAGCUCAAUGAUAUUUUUAAAGGAUUAAAAUGUUGAUGAUUUAUGCAAUCAUUUCCAGGAUCUCACCCUAUAGAGAAAUAUAUCAUCUAUUCAUUCUUGUUUUCUCAGAAUAUCUCUUUUCCCAACCAAAAAUCCUCAAACUUCCUACCAAUUCAAUAUUUGGGUAUCUAAUGCAGUGUGUUCGACAUCAUCUUUUAGGAAUCCCGUGAGCAUGCACCAUACGUGUUCCAGGCCCUUUACAUCACACUGAUGUCACUGUAAUCCUCAGAAUAACCAUGUAUAAUGGGAACUGUCAUCUUCUUUGAGGAAAUAGGCUCAGAAAUAUUGAUCACCAUUUUCUGUAAAGUGGCAAAAGAAAAUACAUGAUGUUAGAAGAUAUGUAAGGAGAGGAAGCAGUGCCUUAAUUAGGCAUUUGACAUUGAGGAAUGAUUAGGAAACGAGAUUGCUACUCAGUGUAAUCAAGAUAUUAGUAAUGUCUGAAUCCCAGUGUCUGCAGAAUCAAAGUAGCAUACAGAGCUUCUUGCCCUUGGAGAUCGUUGGUUAAUUGUGAAAGGAAACUUGGGCUUUUACACUGCAGGGAUUUCUUUGACAGUUUCAGUGGCCAGAGCAUCUUUCCAGGGGACAGACUUAAUGUAUCCUGUUUGAAAGGGCUUGUAAGCUUCCCUCAAAGGACUAGGCAAAGCACACAAUCAGUUUUUAUAUUUGAAUGUGAAGGGCAGGGUCACAGUUGACCUAAACCAGAUUUUUCUCAACCUUGAUCGACACUUUUGGCUGCGUAGGUCUUUGCUGGGGGUGGGGAGGCUGUCCUGUGCAUUGGAGGAUGUUUAACCACAUCCCUGGCCUCUACCCACUAGAUGCCAGCAACAGCCCUUCCCCCACCCUGCCAUGACAUUACCAGGUGAUACUUGGGGGACAAAGUCUCCCCUGAUGGAGGACCACUGACAUAAACUGAGCUUUUAUAGGGCUUAACAACUAUUGUUUUGAAAUCCCAUAAUGUGCAUGGUGCCUGGCCGGGUAAUAAAUAGGAUCUUGAAAAGAGCCCACGCCCCUGAGGAGCUGAUGACCUCUGGAGCUUGUUGAGAUCCUUUGACUAGAUAAAGUAUUUCUAGUAGUUGACUGAAAUAGCUCUGGUUGAGGCAAUUAGUAAAAAUUUGUUUCAAAGGAGUUUAACAUCUGUUUUCAUUUCUGCUUUUGUGAGUUGCUUUGCUACUCAAUUCCUUUAUUUUAGUUGCCUUCCUCUUAGAACUUAAAAUAUUUGAGUGUAAGUCAAAAUUUCCAGUUUAAUAGGAAAUAUGUUUUAUUCAAACAAAUAAGAAUAUUAAUAACUUGAAAUUAGAAUAUGAUGGUGAAAAGUUGAUCAUCAGGUUGAGAUAACAGCAGAGUAGGUAGCAGUGAAGGCAACUAGAAGUCUGGUUGUAUUUAAGAUUCACUUCCUGUUCUUGUUUAUCAUUGGAAAGUUGCACCUUAUGAAAGAUUUUAGAUUCAGAUCAUUGUAUUAUUCUAAGAAAAAAAUUUCAAAAUGCUAACCACGUCUUGGUAACCAUGGCAAAAUAUAUACACACAAAAAUAAUCUCAUACCUAUCUUAGAGCUGAAUUUUUUUGUAUAUGACAUAUGUAAAGCUCUGAAGUAUCUAAUAUACUUUAUUAUCUGAAGUCAAGAGGGAGAAAAGGCAUUCUCAGUUACAAGAGCACAGGCAUGCCUGUUAGUUGAAGUAAUAAAACCAAUUCUGGCUAACUAAAUAGCCAGAGUUUAUUAUUAGAGUAGGUCAGAGAAUAUUUGGGUGGCAAAGAACCAGUCUUAGGUGCAACAAAGCCAGAACAACAUUCAGAAUUAUCCCAUCCCCUAAACUGGUAUUAUUUGCUUCCUUAAUGCCUGAUGUUGGUUUACAGAACAAGAUUUGUGAGGGCAAUUUGGUCUUUAUUUUUUUCAGCUCUUAGCUUGUCACCUAGAACAGUGCCCAGCUCAUAGCAGGCCCUUAGUAAAUAUUUGUUGUAUAAAUUAUUAGGCCAAGGAUAUGUUCAUUAAUAUCAGCAACAGAUUGGAGAAAAAACAUAGAGUAGCAUUAUGAAAUGUUAAUAUUACACAUUCUAUUUGGAGAUUUUUCUGGUGGUAGAAUUUACUCUUAAGCAAUCUUGAUAAGUAUAGUGAAUAACUACUUUGUACCAUAGAGCUUUGUUUUACAUGUGUUCCUGAUGUGCAUGAACAGCCACAACAGUCUUACAAGAAUAGAUAUUACUGUGACCUUCAUGAGAAAGUAGAGGUUUUGAGAAUUGAUUGAGUACUAUGGUCACGUUUAUUUAAUUGGCAGAAUCUAGAUUGAAAUUCAUGCCUGUUUGACUCUUAGCUUAGGUGUUUCCCUCUGUGCAACACAGCCUAGUGCUACUUUCUGUUUUUUUAGGUAAAAAAUGUAGUUAAUGGUCAUCUGUUCACUAUACUAGAAAAUAAUUUGAGUGUAUAAGCUUAUCAAACAGAGGCUUCCUAUACACAUUUUCAACUGCAGUGUUGCAGAUGUUUAUAAAAGUAAAUGUUAGGUCUAAAAAUGACUUUUUGAUUGUAUUCAAAUUUUCUGCUAAAAUAAGAAGUACAAAAUAAACGUGUGCUGUAAGAAAAUUUUCAGAACUGGGAGGAAAAUACCCCAUGGAAUGGUUUCUGAAAAUGUACUGACUGACUCCCAGUAUUUAGCUGUUAAUUUCUUUUUAAUUUAGUGGACAGAAGAAACUGCUGUUUUUCCUCCAACCUCCCAAAUGCUGCUACUGCGUUUUAUACUUUUUAAAAAAUUGUGAAAUAAUUCAGGUUUAUACAAAAGUUACAAGAGUAGGACAAAGAACUCUCUUACACCCUAAACCUAGAUGCCCUAAUUAUUAACAUUUUUAUAUUUGCUUUAUCAUUUUCUUUAUUAUGUACAUGUGGUAUUUUUUUCAGAAUUCUUUGGGAGCAAGUUGUAGAUGUAGUGUCCCUUUACCCCUAAGUGCAUCAGUGUGUGUUACUUUAUUCAUAGUUGGCAAUUGUCCAAAUAAUGUCCUGCUUUAUAGCAAAGAGAAAAAAAAACAGUCCGGUCCAUGGUCCAGUCCAGAAUCACAUCUUGCAUUUAGUUGUUAUGUCCCUUUACUCUUUAAUCUGAAACAGUCCUCAUUCUGUCUUCUUUGUCUUUUAUGAUCUUGGCAUUUUAAAGAGUGUAAGCCAGUUACUUUAUAGAAGGUGGGAUCUUAUUUUAAUAAUGUGGGAAAACUGAAGUUUUUAAAGGUGAAGAAUUAGGUGAAAAUAAUUUGUACUUCCCAUGUUUCUCUUGGUAUAACCUGUUAAAGCUUUUCAUUAUAAAAAUUUUCGAUUGUAAAAGCAGAGAAUAUUAAUAAAAUGGGUCCUAUUGCCCACAUUCAAUAAUUAACAUUUUGCCAACCUUCCUACCUCUAGUCCCCUAAAAACUAAUUACUUUAAAGUAUUUUGAAGCAGUUUCCGGACACCAUAUUUGUUUAAGUAAGCUCUAACAAGUGACAUUUUCUUAUAUAACCAUAGUAACACUUUCCUUAUCAAAACUGUUUAUAACUCUGUAAUAUUAUGUACUACCAAAACUAUAUUCAGAGUUUUGCCAUGACUUUGGAAAAGGUUUUUAAUUUUAUUUGCAUUCGAUUGUGGGAUCUAUUAAGUUUCUUCUUUUGCUUAUUAGACCUUGCUUGCUUUUGGUGGCUUUUUUAAUGUUUUUACAUGGUACAUGUAGGUGAUUAGCAAUCAAAGCAGAACCAGGCCAUGGGUUCCCAGGCCAGUGUGUUUUUUCUCUUCUUUAUUGUAAGGUAAAACACAUCUAAAGUUAAAACUGUGUGGCAUAGACUUUACAAAAGCCAAGUAAGUUGAGGAAGGGAAGUUGGGAAGCUUUGAGUGGUUAAAGAAGUAAAGGAGGAGAUAAUGAUGUGGGGUAUGCAUGUGAGGAAUAAGUGGAGGAAGGAGAAUAAUCCAGCCAGGGAGAACCAAAUACCUGUUAUGAUCUUGGGGCAGAGAAAAGCCAGCUAGACCAAUGUGAAAGGACCCAGACUGACAAAGGUCACACCAUCUGGAGCAUUGCUGGUCGCUGUGGCAGGAGAGAAUGGAAUGGUACAUCCCUUGCUGCUGUCUAACACUGCAGCCUCGAAGAGACAUAUGUCACUUUUGCUCCCAACCCAUUAGCCAAAAGUAGGCACAUGUACCCCUCUAAGGGAACUUGAGGAUGUUUGGUGAGCAGUAAAAAAGACUUCCAGGAUAUAAAGCCUAAUAAAAAUUUAAAGUAUGA